AGUGAACGCUGGCGGUAGGCCUAACACAUGCAAGUCGAACGGCAGCACAGUAAUGGCUUGCUCUUACGGGUGGCGAGUGGCGGACGGGUGAGGAAUACAUCGGAAGCUACUUUUUCGUGGGGGAUAACGCAGGUAAACAUACGCUAAUACCGCAUACGACCUACGGGUGAAAGCAGGGGAUCUUCGGACCUUGCGCGAUCGAAUGAGCCGAUGCGGGAUUAGCUAGUUGGGGGGUUAAAGGACCACCUAGGCGACGAUCCGUCGCUGGAAUGAGAGGAUAAGCAGCCAGACUGGAACUGUGAACCGGCCCAGGCGCACAGGGGUGGCAGCAGUGGGGAAUCUUGGAGAAGGGGCGGGAGCUUGUGCAAGACAGACCGCGUGGGUGAAGAAGGCCUUCGGGUUGUAAAGCAAUUUUGUUGGGAAAGAAAGGCAGCAGGUUAAUACCCCGCUGUUCUGCCGGUACCGAAAGAAUAAGCACCGGCUAACUUCGU
rnacentral:rRNA from 1 species